UACAGAGGGUGCGAGCGUUAAUCGGAAUUACUGGGCGUAAAGCGCACGUAGGCGGCUUGGUAUGUCGGGUGUGAAAUCCCCGGGCUCAACCUGGGAACUGCAUCCGAAACUGCCUUGCUAGAGUAUGGGAGAGGGAAGUGGAAUUCCGGUGUAGCGGUGAAAUGCGUAGAUAUCGGAAGGAACAUCAGUGGCGAAGGCGACUUCCUGGACCAAUACUGACGCUCAGGUGCGAAAGCGUGGGGAGCAAACAGG
rnacentral:rRNA from 1 species